GGCCUAUGCCGGCCGACUCCAUCUUGUUCUGUGUCCUCCACCUUGAGUGACUAUGUCCCCGACAUGAUCCCUUUUCCGGGAAAAUCGCAGAAACCUCAGACAGCGCCUCCUCCCCUUGAGUAACCUCCCGCUCACCCAUUCAAACUUCUUGAUCAAAACACGCCCAGCGACCUGCGUAACAGGACUCCGACCCUUCCCCAGCCAAUCGGCGGAGGCCACGACCCUUCCCCAGCCAAUCGGCUGAGGCCACAGCCAUUACCUCACCAACUGCCCCUAGACCCCUAUAAAACCUUUGUGCUUUUGAAACUCGCUCUCUCUCCCUGGUAUCUCACCGCUGCGUCGGUGCAGGCAGGGGAUUGAGCUCGAGCUAGCUCGAAUAAAGGCUCUUUUGCUUUUGCAUCGGACUCGGCUCCCUAGUGGUCUUUGGGGAUCACGAAUUCUGGGCAUAACAGUAGCAGAAGGGAGAAUGGAUGGCAAGCAGGUAAAGGCGAGAAAGAUCUCCUCUACCAGGAAGUCCAGAGAUUCUGAGAAGGGCAUGAGAUUUUGUGCUUACUGGAUCGACUGCUUCGUUUACAACCUACUCAGCAACUCACUCAAUGAUAGAGCUUACAGAAAAAAUUCAGUGUGUGGGGAUGGGAGGUUUUGUCCUGAUGUAUGCACCGCCCUUACGAUCAUGGGGAGCUCCACAUCAAGGAGCACGUGAGUAUGACAUGACAUGUUCAUUUCUUGGUGCAAUCUGAAUAUCCUGUUCCUCCUACCGCCGAGUCAUUUUUUUGAGGGCUGUGACUGCUCCUUAGUGUCCCUCCAUGAGCUCUGAGCAACCAUUUCCCUGUGGUGACCACCCACACCCUGCAGGUGCUUAAGGAUCUUUCAGUAGAUAAGAGCUCACUUUCCUCCUCUUUCAUUAAAAGUAUCUCUUGGGGCCCCCGGGUGGCACAGUUGGUUAAGAGCCUGAUUCUUGGCUUCGGCUCAGAUCGUGAUUGCGUGAUCCAUGGGUUUGAGCACCGUAUCGGGCACUGCGCUGACAGCACGGAGCCUGUUUGGGAUUCUCCCUCCCUCUCUCUCUGCCCCUUCCCCCCCUUGUGCUGUCUGUCUCUCAAAAUAAAUAGAUGAACUAAAAAAAAAUAAAAGCCUCU
rnacentral:lncRNA from 1 species